rnacentral:rRNA from 1 species
UACGUAGGGGGCAAGCGUUGUCCGGAAUCAUUGGGCGUAAAGCGCGCGUAGGCGGCCCGGUAAGUCCGCUGUAAAAGUCCAGGGCUCAACCCUGGAAAGCCGGUGGAUACUGUCGGGCUAGAGUCCGGAAGAGGCGAGUGGAAUUCCUGGUGUAGCGGUGGAAUGCGCAGAUAUCGGGAGGAACACCAAUGGCGAAAGCAGGUAACUGGACUAUUACUGACACUAAACUGCGAAAGCUAGGGGAGCAAACAGG